UGGCAAGUUAACUGUGAUGACACAUGCAGUAACUGCACGUACUUGUACUAGAAAAUGCAAGUGUCGUGAAAGCGGUGGACAAAUGGCAGGUGAAAUCACAGGAGAAGCGAGCUGCCUUCUGCAGAACAGUCGGUACAGAAGGGAACAACGGAUCUGGAAAGACAACUAACAGUACCCUGAACCAAUCAAUUAAUUCUGACUCAAUAACAAAAGAACUGCACAUGGGAUCUGGGACUUGCAGAUCUUCUCUAACGGCCUACCACUUAGUGCAUUUAUCCAUUAGGCACAAGACACAUCUUUUCUUCCUCUGGGACAAAUUCCAUACUGCACACAGUCAUCUAUUCAGGACAUCCCGUUCUUCCCUCCAGCAGCUCUUAAAUGUAAGACACAAAAGGAGCCUUUGAGACAAGGAUCACAAUGUGCAGCUCUCCCAUUUGCAAGCCGGAUGCACUACAAGCAAACGAAGCCUUGCUUCAAGAACGUGACUCCCAUUCCAGCUAGGACAAAAUAUGGCUUGGGAAAUAGGGCAUUUCCUGGAAAGUGCAAGAUCUGGAUUUAAAGUCCCCAGAAUGAGGGCAGUAUGCAAACAGAUCCUUCUUUAUGGACAACUGCUUUGAUGCAGAAUUAUCACCUUUUUCCUCUUCCUUCUUAAGAAAACAAAGUUCUGCUGUGAUUUGUUACACCUCAGAUUGUGGAAUAAAAACAUUUCUGAGUAUCUGUUAAAUUAACCUUUUUGAAAGACUUUGCUUACUUUUGAGAACUUUCUUGAGAUUAGGCUGAUGUAAGUACCUAGGUACUUAGACUGGGGCAAUUGCAUUUUGGAAAAUAUUCACAGAUGCAUGAAGAAAUUUUUAAUGAAAAAGGAGGAAGUAGCUAAAAUACAGCAACUUCAAAGCAGGCAACUAUUGAGUGAUAGUAUCCUGGUGAAUUCCCUUUGGGCAUCUAAAUCAUUUUUUAUAACAACCCAUAUAGUAAACACCUCAUCCCUGUUGAGUGGAAGAAUGCAAUCAAUGAAAUACUGCAAGUACAGGCCAGAGAAAGAGGAAGGAAAACCAUGUUGUCUUGCCUGUGCUUUUCUCUCUAUUUCCCCCUCUCCUUUCAGGCUUCCUCCCCUUUCUUCUGUACUCCUUAACCCUAGCCCUGAUCUCCUAUCUCCUUCCUCUUCCAGUAUUUCUGCUCAUAUUAGAGUCUCCAUAGCCUUUGUCUUUUGCUUCGUGCUCAACUAUUUUUCACCCCCCCAAUCGUACCCUGCAACAAGCCCCGAGUUUGGGAGACUGUAAUGCAAAUGUGGACAUAUCUCCUCCAGCAGCUUAUCCAUUAUCCAUAGGAGCAUAGUUCAGUGUUCUCUUCAUGUUUCUCAGCAAUACAUUAUUUAUUAAGAAUUUUUUUCAGCCGAAGACUAAAUUCAUUUACUGUGCCAUACAGAUAUAAAAUGAGAGAGGAGCUGGACAUAAAGAUGAUGGAAAAGGACCCAGGGUGAUUAUGGCUCAGCAGUGCUUGAAUGUUUCCAAGCAGCUCUGACCCAUAAAGGAGAGAUGCUCCUUCAAGAAACUUCAUGGAAGGCAUUUGACUUUAAUACUGGGUGAAAUCUGUGAAAUCUGUACAUGCUUAUUGAGGCUGCUACUGAUCUGGAAUUAAAAAAAAAAAUGAUAAAAUAAUAGAAAGACAUUCUCUGAAAACAAAGUUCCCUAUUUUCAGAAAUGACUGGCUCAAAAUAAAGCCACUUAUAAUUUAUCAAAAGAAAAUUUGUACAGCUCAGUGAAGUACGAAUGGAAGUUUGGAGAGGAAAGCAAGGAUGGAAAUGGAUAUCUGUUUUCAGAGGCAAAAAAAAGAAGGGUGAAAGCUUUUCACAACAUUCUUACUCAAAUAAAGACAAAAGCUAUUUUUGACAACUCAAAAAAGAUGGCAAGGCAAGGCAAGGCAAGGCAAGGAAAGGAAAGAUUAGGGUUGUUUUACUCUAAAAUAGAGGAGAGGAAAUAAUAUAAUUUGAAUGUUAGCUAGAAAAGACAGUUCCUGAUCCAUCUAUUUCCCCUUAAACACAUUAUUGUCACCACAAUCAGCAUUCAAAGAGCAAAGGUUGCACACAGUUAUUAAACAGACACUUGGUUUUCAUGGUGCACUUUAUUAUCACCUCAUCACUAACAGAACUUUAUUUUUGUUUUUAAUUUUCUUUUUAACUGAGUGAGAAUUUAGGAUGUGCUAAAAUUGCAGAAUUUAUUGCACUGAGGCCCACAGAGAGGAACUAUGUACUAUUUCUAGUAUUUGCUUUCAUUUGCAUUUCUUUGUUUUGCAUAGUUUUCUAAUUUUAAAGGGGUGCUUUCAUGUUCACCAAUCUUUUUCAGAAAAAUAUCUGAUACAACACCGUGUAUCUAGUAUACUAGAAACACAGAAUAUGUUUUUCAGAAUGUUUAUUAAAGCAGUAAUUUGUUUUAGUUACAUCAAAAAUAUACAGGAGCAUAUAGAAAUUUGAGUCUCACUGUCUGCAGAAUAUGCACUGCCUGCCUUGUCCAUGGGGAUGCUGGAAUACAUUUCCCAGACUUCAGGAAAUUUGGAUUGUCAAGUUACCAGACAAUACCUGGGAGAGUCCUUGAAUGCUGUGACAUGCACUUCUAAUGGAGCUGAUCCCAGCCUUGGGGCUUCACCUCAAAAAACAUGAUUAUGUGUGAGCAAGUCUAUUUACUAACAUAAUGGGGGAAAAAAGCAUCUUUUGCUCAUGUUAUCUGAUGUUAGCAAGCAAUCCACAGUUUUGAUGGACUGAUUUAUUGCUACUGUUUUCUCUGGCAUUGGAUUUAACUCAUCAGAAGUUAGCUGAUAUGGAAAGAAACAUGGACUUAUCUUCCAUUCUUAAAGCAAAUGACUAUUCUGAUCCAAGAAAGGCUGAUUUACUUGCCAGUAUCUGUGUAGUAGAUGCUGCAGCACCUAUAAUGCGUUUGCUUUUCUACUGCAAAAUUGUAGUGUUCCAUUUAUCUUCCCCAGGUGGUCAUAACUACUGUGGCAUACGUAGUAUCGACUAUUUUUGACUUCAAAUGCAUCUUCUUAAACUGACUGACACCACACUCCACGGACAUGGAAAAUGAACAUAUGUUCUCUGCUGCUUCAAAAACAAACCACUGGGAAAAAUGUUAAUAUUCCAACACUUAAAGCUUUCCUUUUUUCCUUAUCAUGUGAGAAGAAAGCAGGUGGAGGAAUUGCAUGUAUUUUCUGAUUAGUACAGUUUGUGCUUGAGUAAGGUUACCUAAAACACAUUUAACAUGAGUCAGGAACAAAGCUGUUGCUAAUUCCCUUCUGAUUCUCUUACUAUGGCAACCCAGAAAGAUAAAGAUGAAAAGAAUUCACUGUCUUCUGCUUUUGCUCUACAAGUCUGUAUGCAGUCUGCUUUUAAACAUUUUCAAUUAAAACACCUUGACAGAUAUUUAAAAACUUGGAGAAAAAAACAGCUAGUGAGAUUGUAAAGAUUUUUGGUAAGGAAAAAAAAGGCUGGAUUCAUCUCUCAUUUCCCUCUUCUGUCACUACCUUUUCACUCCUGCUUUCCUAUUCAUUAAUAUUUUGGUAUUUAGCAUGUUGGUUGCAGUAACUAAGUGUUAAUUUGUUCUUUGGCAUGUUACACCAGGAUGAACCUGGUUAAUUAAAACAGGAAGCACCAUCCCUGAAGCACCAUGGCUGGUGCCUUGGUGUUGAUGCCUCGGGUUCGGUAUAUAAUGAGACUCCUAGCUGCAGGCAAAGGGAGGCUGUGUGCUUUCCCAUCUCUGGCAUGGAACAGAAUUAAGCAUUAACUCUGUAGCAGACCCCUGCUUAUCAGCAACCUUGCUAUUACUACACCGACCCUGAUGUGCAUAAGCAAUAUUUUCAUCCACUUCCCAAGAGAUUUAUCUAGCUGUUGAAGUAGAAAAUGAAUAUUUUACAGUUCACUUGUCUGAUCAAUUACCUACAAGCUGCUGCAGUAUUUUAUAGCCAGUGGGAGAGCUGUGUAGGUGAUGAUAGAGAAAUCUGGAGGGAAUCUGUUAGCCAACUACAAAAAAGAGAAUAAAACUGUGAAUGAGCCAUCAGUAACAGACCUUUUGUUCAUAAGGGUCUAGCCAGAAAUUACAGUGUAACCAAUUAAAGUACAUAAAUGAUAAUCAGCAGAAUGUGAAUUCCAGAGGUGAAGAAAUUUGAUUGCUUGAUUGGAGGAUAAUGAAGUGCAGAAAUGAUUCAAAGCCAACCCCUUCUCAGUGAAACAUCUCCCUCAGUACUUUAUUUGCCAUUUUUGUCUUUUAGAUAAUUGGAAGAAACUCUUUCCUAGAGAUGCUUUGGAAAUUAAAUGAACUCAAAGUUUAAUUGUGUACACUUUGUAGACAAGGCAUUACUGAUCAUAAUGCAGAAAGUUUCAACAACCUAAGUUCCCAGAGGUUUAUUUUAAUAGGAAAAGUUUUUGUUGGCAAUUCAUUUUAAGAACAUUAUAAAUUCCAUCUUGAAUAAGUUCAUGAAAUCUCUCUUAACUGAUUGCAUAUGAAUUAUGUUUUUUUUUUUCUAAGUCACUAAAUGGAAUGUUAUUCUGUUAAUAUUUUAAAAAGAAAGAACAGUGACAAGUUCAAAAUCAUAUUUGAAAAUGAUGAAAGCAUAAAGAAGCUUCCUAGAAGAUUCAAAAGUUAGUUUGUAUUUGCCUGUUUAAGAUUCCUCCAGUCUAGCCCAAGAGCUUUAAGCAUGUCUUUGUUCUUUAAUCUACAGACAGCUCCGUGAGAGAGAGGUCUGUAUCUGUAACAAGAAAAUCAAAUCCGAUUUGUUUAGUGAUAGCCACAAAUAUCUCUUGAAUUAAAAUGAGUUUCAGGCCUUCAACUCUAAAACAGAAAUAAAUCUAGGUCCAGUUAAAAUUCAGAUAGAGCACUGAGUGUCCAGCCUUUUUUUAACUUAUUCCACAACAUCAUCAAGAAGUAAAGGCUGUAAAUAUAUAUUGCUGCCUUACUACAGAUUAUUGGCUUCAUAUUACAUGUUUGACUAACUGCAAAAACUUUUAGGUUAUACUGUGCUUUUACAUUUUAGGAGAACAUGCAUAUUCCAUAUUACAUGCUUUUGAAAAACCUCUUCUUCAUUGUACCCUUUUCAGUAUUUAUUAAAUAUUGCAAAACAGAUUGAGGAAUGAACUUGAAUUUCCCUUAAUAAGUGCCUUUUUUAACUAGCCUUUGAACUAAAAGUAUUCAAAAUCCAGAAAAAAAAUAACUUUUUAAUAUAUCCAAGAAUGUAAGCUCUGUACUUAUGCAUUUAUCAUUACUAUCUUACACUAUUUUUAUUCUCAAAAAUUUACAUAUAUUACCUCCUUGACACAGGUGUUAUCCAAAAGGAAGAAUAAAAUCAUCUUCUAUUUGUGUUUCACGUCUGUUAUUAAAAUGUCCUGCAGCCAUUCUACCAAGUCUCCAAAGCCUCAUGUGUCAAAGAUGAAUGUUACCCACUGUUUACUGUAUUGGCACACCCACACAUGACAGUCCACCACUGCAGACGUUUAAACCACUUUUGAAGGAACAUUACCUCUAUUUCUGAAGCAAAGCAU